rnacentral:rRNA from 1 species
AGUGAACGCUGGCGGUAGGCCUAACACAUGCAAGUCGAACGGCAGCACAGUAAGAGCUUGCUCUUACGGGUGGCGAGUGGCGGACGGGUGAGGAAUACAUCGGAAUCUACUUUUUCGUGGGGGAUAACGUAGGGAAACUUACGCUAAUACCGCAUACGACCUACGGGUGAAAGCAGGGGAUCUUCGGACCUUGCGCGAUUGAAUGAGCCGAUGUCGGAUUAGCUAGUUGGCGGGGUAAAGGCCCACCAAGGCGACGAUCCGUAGCUGGUCUGAGAGGAUGAUCAGCCACACUGGAACUGAGACACGGUCCAGACUCCUACGGGAGGCAGCAGUGGGGAAUAUUGGCCAAUGGGCGCAAUCCUGAUCCAGCCAUACCGCGUGGGUGAAGAAGGCCUUCGGGUUGUAAAGACCUUUUGUUGGGAAAGAAAAGCAGCAGGUUAAUACCCCGCUGUUCUGACGGUACCCAAAGAAUAAGCACCGGCUAACUUCGUG